ACGAAAUAUGUGUCAGCACUGUGGUCGCCACUAGUCAUAUAACGCUCCAUCAUAAAUCUGCUUGUUCAGUACACAACGAUAAGGUUUACUGCUUGUUCAGCUCAUUAGGUAUGGACACAACAUUGGUAGGCGGUAAUGCACGUCAUAGUUAGAAAACCCAGCGAUUGGCCUGUUACUUCCGAUUGACGUCAUAUCUAUGUUAAUGACGUUCACACUUAGAGUUCGACAGUGGAAUCUCAUCAGUCAGGAGAUCAGCUGACAACAACCAGCUCCCGUUCUGUUCUGACGUUGCCCUGUUACAAGAAAAUAGUUUUAGCCGUACUGUCGUGAAAGGGAGAUCGCACUUGACGGUGACACUGAAGAUCGAGUCAUCAAUAAGCUGUCAACAGCCACCGUUGCAAGCGAGCUAUUGGACAUACAAAAGCUAUUAUAAGCAUCCCCACAGCAAGUUAUACUGUAUCCAUCAGUUUAAUUUUGUAGAUACACCAGUCGACAUAAGGAAGAGAAACAAACCAUGCACAUGUCCGUGUCACUUGUUGGUCACAGUCAACUUCCCAACAAUUUGGGAGUGAGGGGAGCGAAGGUUAGAACAUUUAGAGGUCCUGGAGGUAAAGCUUAUAAUUUUUGGAAUGAUGAGCGUAUGUGCUCUGUACUGAAUUGGGAACAUGACCUGUGUAUUUUAUGGAUAGGCUCUAAUGCCAUAGAUGAUGAUUCUGAAGUGCAGGAAAUAGUAGACGAUAUAGUGUCCAUCAGGGACUCCAUAGUUGAAAACUGUGGAGCUGAUGUAAUCGUAGUUCUGGUGGAACCACGAUACUACCCAGAUGAUUACCCUGUGUCUAGUGACCGGUAUCGUCAUAUUCAAAGGGGCAUAAAUCGUAAACUAAAGAGAGAAUUGUCAAAUGAUAGUUUCAUUCAGUUCAACAUGCCUGUAUAUGAAGAGCUGUUGAGCUCAGAUGGGGUACAUUGGACUUAUGAAGGGAAGCAGAUGAUUAAAAAGAAACUCAGAAAUGUCAUUCGGAGAUAAUUGAACUGAGACGAUAGCUAGUAAAUACCUGAAAAGACUCCUGCUACAUUAAAGGGUUAAGUAAAAGGGAAAGUGUGAUUUAAAACCAACUGUUGUCUAGCAGGUUAUGUGUAUUUAGAUAUGAAAUGUAUAUGUAUAAGAUAUGAAAUGUAUGUAUAAGAUAUGAAAUAUAUGUAUAAGUAAUAUGCAAUCUUAAAAUUUA